ACGGGUGAGUAACACGUGGUCAACCUUCCCUACAGGUGGGGAUAACUAGCCGAAAGGUUAGCUAAUACCGCAUAACAUCUACGAGCGGCAUCGUUUGUAGAUCAAAGGAGCAAUCCGCUGAAGGACGGGACCGCGUCCCAUUAGUUAGUUGGUGGGGUAAUGGCCUACCAAGACUCCGAUGGGUAGCUGGUUUGAGAGAGCGACCAGCCACACUGGGACUGAGAAACGGCCCAG
rnacentral:rRNA from 1 species